UGAAGAACGCAGCGAAAUGCGAUACCUAGUGUGAAUUGCAGAAUUCCGCGAAUCAUCGAGUUUUUGAACGCAAKUUGCGCCCGAGGCUCGUACCGAGGGCAUGUCUGUCUGAGCGUCCU
rnacentral:rRNA from 1 species